rnacentral:rRNA from 1 species
AUUGAACGCUGGCGGCAUGCCUUACACAUGCAAGUCGAACGGCAGCAUGGAGAGCUUGCUCUCUGAUGGCGAGUGGCGAACGGGUGAGUAAUGCAUCGGAACGUACCGUGUAAUGGGGGAUAACGUAGCGAAAGUUACGCUAAUACCGCACACGACCUGAGGGUGAAAGCAGGGGAUCGCAAGACCUUGCGUUAUAUCAGCGGCCGAUGUCAGAUUAGCUAGUUGGUGAGGUAAAGGCUCACCAAGGCGACGAUCUGUAGCGGGUCUGAGAGGAUGAUCCGCCACACUGGGACUGAGACACGGCCCAGACUCCUACGGGAGGCAGCAGUGGGGAAUUUUGGACAAUGGGGGCAACCCUGAUCCAGCCAUGCCGCGUGAGUGAAGAAGGCCUUCGGGUUGUAAAGCUCUUUCGGCCGGGAAGAAAUCGCACAGGCUAAUACUCUGUGUGGAUGACGGUACCGGCAUAAGAAGCACCGGCUAACUACGUGCCAGCCGCCGCCGUAA